CGGGUGAGUAACACGUGAGUGACCUGCCUUUUAGACUGGAACAACUUACCGAAAGGGUGAGCUAAUGCCGGAUGAGUUAUAUAAGUGCAUGUUUAUAUAGGAAAAGUUGGGGAGACCUGACGCUGAAAGAUGGACUCGCGUCCCAUUAGCUAGUUGGUAGAGUAAUGGCCUACCAAGGCGACGAUGGGUAGCCGGCCUGAGAGGGUGGCCGGCCACACUGGGACUGAGACACGGCCCAGACUCCUACGGGAGGCAGCAG
rnacentral:rRNA from 1 species